UAGGGAAUCUUCGGCAAUGGACGAAAGUCUGACCGAGCAACGCUGCGUGAGUGAAGAAGGUUUUCGGAUCGUAAAACUCUGUUGUUAGCGAAGAACAAGGACGUUAGUAACUGAACGUCCCCUGACGGUAUCUAACCAGAAAGCCACGGCUAACUACGUGCCAGCAGCCGCGGUAAUACGUAGGUGGCAAGCGUUGUCCGGAAUUAUUGGGCGUAAAGCGAGCGCAGGCGGUUUCUUAAGUCUGAUGUGAAAGCCCCCGGCUCAACCGGGGAGGGUCAUUGGAAACUGGGAGACUUGAGUGCAGAAGAGGAGAGUGGAAUUCCAUGUGUAGCGGUGAAAUGCGUAGAUAUAUGGAGGAACACCAGUGGCGAAGGCGGCUCUCUGGUCUGUAACUGACGCUGAGGCUCGAAAGCGUGAGGAGCAAACAGG
rnacentral:rRNA from 1 species